rnacentral:sRNA from 1 species
GAAGAUAGAUGAUAUAUAACAUAAGUAGAAAAGUAAAUAUUGCCUCCUACAUUAAUUUUUAUUUACAUCGAUAUUACUCAUACUUACAAAAUAUUUUAAAAGAGAGGCUUUGACAGAAUAUUUGGUGAAAAAUUAUUAAUUAAAAUAUAAAUUAGUAUAAAUUGAGAGGAUUUUAUCUUUAUUUUAUUAAUUUAAGCUAAAAUAAUAAGUGAUUUAUAAUUCUUAACUAUUGUCAUUUUGAUUAUUUUAUAGGAAAGAAGCAUUGGAUUUUCAUGUAGAUCACCAAUCAAGACCCUUUUUCAAUGAGCUGAUCCAGUUUAUUACAACUGGUCCUAUUAUUGCCAUGGAGAUUUUAAGAGAUGAUGCUAUAUGUGAAUGGAAAAGACUGCUGGGACCUGCAAACUCUGGAGUGGCACGCACAGAUGCUCCUGAAAGCAUUAGAGCCCUCUUUGGAACAGAUGGCAUAAGAAAUGCAGCGCAUGGCCCUGA